rnacentral:lncRNA from 1 species
AUGUGCUUAGGGCAUCGAGAAGGCGGAGCUCGACCAUGCCAGCACAUUGAGGAGGAGGAGGCGCUUGGGAGGGCAACGCAGGAAGGAUUUGCAACGCUUGGGGGGGGGGAGUUCACGAGCUCACCUGCACCUAGAGGAGGAGGCACUCCAAGAUGUGGCGAGGAGCAGGAGCUCAAUUUCGUCGGCACAUGGAGGAGGAAAGCGCUCGAGGAAACGGGGAUGCUGCGGGAAGCCAAAGGUCUACCUCGCCGGCAGUUGGAAGAGGCACUUGGGGAGAAGGAGUUUAACCUCGCCGGUUGGAAGGUGAAGUAUGGUAGGCUGGCUGGCAUACAUGGUGACAUAUACGCCUCUCCCAGGGACCAUAUAUGUGCUUCUCUGCGUAACUGGGCUCUGCCAAUAGCUGACCCACUAUUCAAGACAAGAUUUUACUCCUCCUUUGUUUGCCAACCGUGCUUGCAGUUUGCAGUUUGCAGAGGAUGCAUAUGCUUUGGUUUUGCAAUGGCGAUGCAUGCACAAAUGGACAUGCAGGUUAGAGAUUGGAGUUGGUCUUUCUCUUUUCAAGUGGCUCUGAUGAGUCUGAUGACCCAGGGCAGGUUCACUUCAGUCCACCCUUUUCUUUUUAUGAGAUUGACUUUCUGUUGCUGGCCUUGGAUUAAUGGAUAGUAUAUUUGGA